GGUUUUUUCCAUCUUGCACCUAGGUACAAUGUACCUAGGUAAUGGAUGGGCGACACGUGGCAUGCAAUUCUAUUUCAUUUACUUUUAUUUUUUCGGCCCAUUUAACUCAACCCAGGUUUGAAAUUGGGCCCCACUUGGCAGCUGGUUUUAGUAUUGUACAAUCUUAAUACUGUAUUUGGUUUUAUUUUUAAUGUUGAAUACAUCUGCGGGCCCCAUAAUUGUUAAAGCUUCCAAGUGAAGCUUCUAUUCCUUAAAAAUAUCUGGUACCGCAUUCAAUUAAUUUUGAAUUUUACUAGUGGGUCUCAUUUUAGUUUUAAUUUGCAGAAUUGUGAGGCAAAAUUUUCCGGUCGUCAUUUUUUUUGGUGGGAAGAGAGAAUGCGAUUUUGUGCUUCAUUUUUCAUCAAACCUAGAAGUCCGGCACCGACAGCUUUGGCAUCCUUGCCGGAGACAUCUUCCCGGAGUUGUGGUUGUGGUUAAGCCCCGACGGAGCUUUUUUUGCUUGGAAGGUUGAAUGCUACUGUGUUCGUCAUUUUGCAUCUAUGUUUAAGAAUUUUGUCACCGAUUGCGUUGUCGACAUCUCCCCGUAGCUGUGGCUGGCGUUAACCCACCGGCGGAGGGAAUUUCCGAUAUGGCGGUACCGCCGAAGCAAAGGAGAUUCUGAAAUAGCGAAGUUUUGGUGCUCAUGUUUCUCAGCGAAGUUACCCGGGUUUGUAAACUUUAGAGUAGCCAUUGUGGAUAAGUGAUGUGUUUUUGGAUUUGAUGUGGUGCAAAAAAGAAUGAGAAGAUCAAAGUCUGGCGUGUUUUCGAUAACCUUGAAGCUGUAUCCGGGCAAAUACGAGAUCAAAUUCAUAGUUAAUGGACAAUGGAAACUCGAUCCUCUGCGCCCUACCGUCAAUAAUAAUGGACAUCAAUACAAUCUUUUCAUCGUUACAUGAAUCUGUACAGAAUUUGUUUGCACUUAUAGGUAGAAAAAUACACCAAAAAGUUGGUGUACAGCUUGCUAAUGCUAUGAUCUUAUUACCAUACAUAUGAGUUAUUUGUUACUUUUAUUUAUAUUAUUUUCGUUUUUC